rnacentral:rRNA from 1 species
AACUCGGGGGACUGUUGAUUAUAAACUUUUUUCAAACCAGAGGAAGGUUGCGGCAAUAACAGGUCUGUGAUGCCCUCAGAUGUUCCGGGCUGCACACGUGCUACAUUUAGUAGCGCAGUGUGCACAUUAAUAGAGUGAUAGGUUCCGUGGUUUGUACAUUUUAAGGGCUCGUCCUAGUAACCAAAGCUCCACGGGACAUAUCAACCUUCCCCUUACAGGGCGGGUAACCUUUUCGAAGUGCUGGCAUGAUUUCCCUAGUUUUGGCAUUUGAAUCCUUGUCGCAGCAGCCCUGAGACGUAGUGAACGCUGCAAAGUGAUUCCAGUCUUAGGUUUGCGACACAUGCAAUUCCUGGUUGACUCAUCGUGGGGACUGAUUGUUGUAAUUAUUUUUCACGGUUCAACCAGGAAUGCCU